GCGGCGCCGCCCUGCGCGGCCGUGUGGCCCUCCACUCCGGCCGCUCCACCAGCUGAAGUCGUGUCCUUCCACGCGCAGCCUAAGUUUGAGUAUGGUGUCGCGCUCCUAACAACUCAUAGGACGAUCCUACACGAUGUCCUGUAUCUCAGAAAACCCACGACACGGCGGAAAUUGAAAAUGUACGUGCAGCAAUCUCAGUGAGGUUACCAAGCAGAAGUGUGCAGUACCAGCAAAUGUCUGGAAGCUGACGGCCACCACUUCGAGCACCUCUGGUGAUUGCAGAGGCCGAAGGUGACUCGUGUUACUCUCACGAUGUCUCCGUAAAUUUGGUAUUAAAAUAUACACGUUUUUCUUUCCCUGA
rnacentral:lncRNA from 1 species